GACAGAGGGGUCAAGCGUUGCUCGGAAUCACUGGGCGUAAAGGGCGCGUAGGCGGGAUGGCAAGUCGGUCGUGAAAUCCUUCGGCUCAACCGAAGAACGUCGGCCGAUACUGCCGUUCUUGAGGGAUGCAGAGGAGAUUGGAAUUCCCGGUGUAGCGGUGAAAUGUGUAGAGAUCGGGAGGAACACCGGUGGCGAAGGCGGGUCUCUGGGCAUCUCCUGACGCUGAGGCGCGAAAGCGUGGGGAGCAAACGGG
rnacentral:rRNA from 1 species